ACUCGUGAGCCGGUGAGCGUCAAACGAAGCCGCAAAUCUAAUCCAUUCCGAUCCUUCUAGAAGGUUCAACCCGCCCCUUGGCCCCUCCGAAUUUCCUCGCCCUUUCCAACUGUUUCGUCGGCCAGAACUCCAAACCCUAGUUUCCACUCGCCGACGCGGCUCCGAGCGAGCAUGGAUCGGAUCGUCGGCAGCAAGUACAAGCUGGGCCGCAAGAUCGGGAGCGGUUCUUUCGGGGAGAUCUACCUCGCAACGCACGUCGACACGUACGAGAUUGUGGCCGUCAAGAUCGAAAGCAGCAAAACAAAUCAUCCCCAGUUGCUAUAUGAGGCCAAGCUAUACAAUGCUCUUCAGGGAGGGACUGGCAUCGCAAACAUAAAAUGGUGUGGUAUUGAUGGCGAGGAAAAUGUUCUUGUUAUUGAUUUGCUUGGGCCAAGCCUUGAGGAUCUGUUUGUUUAUUGUGGUCGGAGAUUCUCACUCAAGACAGUCUUAAUGUUGGCAGAUCAGAUGAUAACAAGAAUAGAGUUUUUACAUUCCAAGGGGUAUUUGCACAGAGACAUAAAGCCUGAUAACUUUCUUAUGGGCCUUGGUCGAAAAGCUAACCAGGUCUAUAUCAUUGACUUUGGGCUUGCAAAGAGAUACCGUGACUCAACCACCAAUCGCCAUAUACCUUACAGAGAACAUAAAAACUUGACAGGCACAGCUCGCUAUGCAAGUUGCAACACUCAUCUUGGAAUUGAGCAAAGCCGAAGAGAUGACCUGGAGUCCAUUGGAUAUGUUCUUUUGUAUUUUCUUAGAGGAAGUCUUCCUUGGCAGGGUUUAAAAGCUGCCACAAAGAAGCAGAAGUAUGACAAAAUAAGCGAGAAGAAGCUUUCAACACCUAUUGAGGUUUUAUGUAAAUCCCAUCCUGUGGAAUUCGCUUCUUAUUUCCACUAUUGCCAUUCGUUGACAUUUGAUCAACGGCCAGACUAUGGUUUUCUGCGACGUCUCUUUAGAGAUCUCUCUGAUCGUGAAGGUCACCAGUUUGAUCAUGUCUUCGACUGGACAUUGUUGAAGUGCAAGCAGACCCAGAAGGUGAAGGCUCAACAGCAAGAUCCAGGUGUAAGCAGCAGGCCGAUUCCAAUGAAUAUGGACAAGCACCAAGUUGGUAGUUCCCGUGCAGCCGAAGCUUCUGGUCAGCUUGAAGCAGAGCAACGCCCGGCAAUCAGAAUACAAAUAAGAUCUACUGCUGAGAACAACCGGUCAAAUAAUCGACAUUCUGAUAAAUUGAGGGUGGGGACUAGCACUGAUAAUGCAUUAUUGCAAUCGACAUCAUUUGGCCAUGCUGAUGCCCCAAGGAAGAAUAUGUCGGUUUCCAAAACAAAGGGGUUUGUUGAUCCCCACAAUCAUGGAACUAAUAGUCCAGGGCCUUCAAACGACCUUUAGCACUGAGACUAGUUAGUUCCUACGUGCAUGUUGGUCUUUCAGUGAACCAUGGGUCACUGGAUAUGCUUUCAGCGGAGAAUCUAGAGUGAGCAUGUAAAUUGCUGUCAUGUUUAAGGUGUCUUAUGUAUUGCACGAGGUGAUUAUUACCUACCAAAAAAGUUGUUGACACGGUGUUAUGAAAUCAGCAUCAGUUAUCAUGCAGUGGUCAAGCAAUUUGCUUAUUUGAUAUGAUGUGUAUAAUAUAUGGAAGCUUACUUAGGAAUGUCAGUAUCCUAUUUUGUGUUCUACAUGAGUGUUUACAUUGCCAGACUUCAUCUGGGCUCAUUGAUUCAGGGUCCUUUGCCAAGUAAUAAUAACGGCGCUGUAUUCCUUAAAGAGAGCUUGAGGACUCAUCGGGAUAGCUUUAGCUUUAAUUAGUGACCCGCGCCAGUGCGAUAGUAUACGCUCAUUUUGGCGUCUCACUGUGGGAUCUCCUUCUGAGCUUAUAACUGCUUCUGCCUAUGCUCUCAGUUUGCAAGCGGAGGACGGUAUCCUAUUCAAGGUAGAUGGGUUUUAGUGUCAAAUGAGUUUGUUGUUGAAUCCCCACAAGCAAGGUUUAUGAAGAGCUACCUGGGAAGUACAUGAAUUUGGUUGGCCUGGCAUGAUUAUUUUGAUUGCUUCCAUCAAUUUUCCUUGUUCUAAUACAAAAUUUUGCCCUCUUGGGAAAAAAAUGAUACAAAUUAUUUUGCUUUCCUGCGAGAAUUGGUGGUGAAAGUCCAUCCCCAUUGUCAUGUUCAAGUGCAAUCUUGUGCAGAAAGAGUCAUGGGGUCAUAUAUUUGAUCUGUACGGCCGGAAAAAGAGUCAUGUAUGGCGUUUUAUAGUGUUGGUACUACCAUGUUGUAUUUUGUGUUUUGCUAGAUGAUUUCUGAUGUGUAAUGGACAUACAAUGAUGUACUUUGUAUAUGAUCAAUGUUUUAGUCUAUUCAUCAUAUUUGUUACCGGGGAGUAGGCGUUUCUAGAUGUUCACCCAGAGCUUGGACUUGUUUGGGAUUAAGGAAAUGAAACAGCCAGCUUAUACCA